UACGAGGGGUGCAAGCGUUUGCUCGGGAAUUAUUGGGCGUAAAGGGUAGGUAGGUGGUCUCAUUUGUCUGGGGUGAAAUCCUUGAGCUUAACUCAAGAACUGCCCCAGAAACGGUGAGACUCGAGUACUGGAGAGGGUCGUGGAAUUCCCGGUGUAGCGGUGAAAUGCGUAGAGAUCGGGAGGAACACCAGAGGCGAAGGCGGCGACCUGGACAGUUACUGACACUCA
rnacentral:rRNA from 1 species